rnacentral:rRNA from 1 species
UGGGGAAUAUUGGACAAUGGGGGCAACCCUGAUCCAGCCAUGCCGCGUGUGUGAAGAAGGCUUUCGGGUUGUAAAGCACUUUCAGUGAGGGGGAAGGCCAAGUCGCUAAUAUCGGCUUGGAUUGACGUUACUCACAGAAGAAGCACCGGCUAACUCCGUGCCAGCAGCCGCGGUAAUACGGAGGGUGCAAGCGUUAAUCGGAAUUACUGGGCGUAAAGCGCGCGUAGGUGGUUUGUUAAGCGAGAUGUGAAAGCCCCGGGCUUAACCUGGGAACGGCAUUUCGAACUGGCAGGCUAGAGUGUGGUAGAGGGUAGUGGAAUUUCCUGUGUAGCGGUGAAAUGCGUAGAUAUAGGAAGGAACACCAGUGGCGAAGGCGGCUACCUGGACCAACACUGACACUGAGGUGCGAAAGCGUGGGGAGCAAACAGG